rnacentral:rRNA from 1 species
UACGGGGGGGGCAAGCGUUGUUCGGAAUUACUGGGCGUAAAGGGCUCGUAGGCGGCCAACUAAGUCCGACGUGAAAUCCCCAGGCUUAACCUGGGAACUGCGUCGGAUACUGGAUGGCUUGAAUUCGGGAGAGGGAUGCAGAAUUCCAGGUGUAGCGGUGAAAUGCGUAGAUAUCUGGAGGAAUACCGGUGGCGAAGGCGGCAUCCUGGACCGACAUUGACGCUGAUGAGCGAAAGCUAGGGGAGCAAAGCAGGG